UACGUAGGUGGCAAGCGUUGUCCGGAUUUACUGGGCGUAAAGAGCACGCAGGCGGUCGGAUAAGUCGAAUGUGAAAGCCCCCGGCUCAACUGGGGAGGGUCAUUCGAUACUGUUCGACUCGAAGGCAGGAGAGGGAAGUGGAAUUCCCGGUGUAGUGGUGAAAUGCGUAGAUAUCGGGAGGAACACCAGUGGCGAAGGCGACUUCCUGGCCUGUUCUUGACGCUGAGGCGCGAAAGCUAGGGGAGCAAACGGG
rnacentral:rRNA from 1 species